rnacentral:rRNA from 1 species
GACGAACGCUGGCGGCGCGCCUAACACAUGCAAGUCGAACGAGCGAGCGAGACCUUGCUUUCUCGAGCGAGUGGCGAACGGGUGAGUAACGCGUGAGGAACCUGCCUCAGAGAGGGGGACAACAGUUGGAAACGACUGCUAAUACCGCAUAAGACCACGACCCGGCUUCGGGUGGAGGGAAAAGGAGCAAUCCGCUUUGAGAUGGCCUCGCGUCCGAUUAGCUUGUUGGUGAGGUAACGGCCCACCAAGGCGACGAUCGGUGGCCGGACGGGGAAGUGGAACGGUCAGGACGGGGCUGAGGCACGGCCCAGAAUCCGACGGGGGGCAGCAGUAGGGAACAUUGCGCAAUGGAGGAAAACCUGAUGAAGCGACGCCGCGUGGAAGAAGAAGGUCGUUGGAUUGCGAACUCGUGUGGUUGGGGAAGAUAGUGACGGUAAUCAACAAGGAAGUGACGGCUAACUACGUG